AACGAACGCUGGCGGCAUGCCUAACACAUGCAAGUCGAACGAACCCUUCGGGGUGAGUGGCGCACGGGUGCGUAACGCGUGGGAACCUGCCUUUAGGUUCGGAAUAACAGUUAGAAAUGACUGCUAAUACCGGAUAAUGUCUUCGGACCAAAGAUUUAUCGCCUUUAGAUGGGCCCGCGUUAGAUUAGAUAGUUGGUGGGGUAAUGGCCUACCAAGUCGACGAUCUAUAGCUGGUCUGAGAGGAUGAUCAGCCACACUGGGACUGAGACACGGCCCAGACUCCUACGGGAGGCAGCAGUGGGGAAUAUUGGACAAUGGGCGAAAGCCUGAUCCAGCAAUGCCGCGUGAGUGAUGAAGGCCUUAGGGUUGUAAAGCUCUUUUACCAGGGAUGAUAAUGACAGUACCUGGAGAAUAAGCUCCGGCUAACUCCGUGCCAGCAGCCGCGGUAAUACGGAGGGAGCUAGCGUUGUUCGGAAUUACUGGGCGUAAAGCGCACGUAGGCGGCUUUUCAAGUCAGGGGUGAAAUCCCGGGGCUCAACCCCGGAACUGCCCUUGAAACUGGAUGGCUAGAAUACUGGAGAGGUGAGUGGAAUUCCGAGUGUAGAGGUGAAAUUCGUA
rnacentral:rRNA from 1 species